rnacentral:rRNA from 1 species
UACAGAGGGGGCAAGCGUUAUUCGGAAUUAUUGGGCGUAAAGGGCGCGUAGGCGGCCUGGCAAGUGGAAGGUGAAAUCCCUCGGCUUAACCGAGGAACUGCCCUCCAAACUGCUUGGCUUGAGUCCGGGAGAGGUGAGUGGAAUUCCCAGUGUAGCGGUGAAAUGCGUAGAUAUCCGGAGGAACACCAGUGGCGAAGGCGACUUUCUGGUCUGUAACUGACACUGAGGCGCGAAAGCGUGGGGAGCGAACAGG